rnacentral:rRNA from 1 species
GAUCCCCUUCGGGGGUGACGCUUGUGGAAUGAGCGGCGGACGGGUGAGUAACACGUGGGCAACCUGCCUGUAAGACUGGGAUAACCCCGGGAAACCGGGGCUAAUACCGGAUAAUACUUUCUUUUGCAUAAAGGAAAGUUGAAAGGCGGCUUCGGCUGUCACUUACAGAUGGGCCCGCGGCGCAUUAGCUAGUUGGUGAGGUAACGGCUCACCAAGGCGACGAUGCGUAGCCGACCUGAGAGGGUGAUCGGCCACACUGGGACUGAGACACGGCCCAGACUCCUACGGGAGGCAGCAGUAGGGAAUCUUCCGCAAUGGACGAAAGUCUGACGGAGCAACGCCGCGUGAGUGAUGAAGGUUUUCGGAUCGUAAAACUCUGUUGUUAGGGAAGAACAAGUUGNNUAGUAACUGACCCAACCUUGACGGUACCUAACCAGAAAGCCACGGCUAACUACGUGCCAGCAGCCGCGGUAAUACGUAGGUGGCAAGCGUUGUCCGGAAUUAUUGGGCGUAAAGCGCUCGCAGGCGGUCCUUUAAGUCUGAUGUGAAAUCUCGCGGCUCAACCGCGAACGGUCAUUGGAAACUGGAGGACUUGAGUACAGAAGAGGAGAGUGGAAUUCCACGUGUAGCGGUGAAAUGCGUAGAGAUGUGGAGGAACACCAGUGGCGAAGGCGACUCUCUGGUCUGUAACUGACGCUGAGGAGCGAAAGCGUGGGGAGCGAACAGGAUUAGAUACCCUGGUAGUCCACGCCGUAAACGAUGAGUGCUAGGUGUUAGGGGGUUUCCGCCCCUUAGUGCUGAAGUUAACGCAUUAAGCACUCCGCCUGGGGAGUACGGCCGCAAGGCUGAAACUCAAAAGAAUUGACGGGGGCCCGCACAAGCGGUGGAGCAUGUGGUUUAAUUCGAAGCAACGCGAAGAACCUUACCAGGUCUUGACAUCCUCUGCUAUUCCUAG